GACGAACGCUGGCGGCGUGCUUAACACAUGCAAGUCGAACGGAAAGGCCCUGCUUUUGUGGGGUGCUCGAGUGGCGAACGGGUGAGUAACACGUGAGUAACCUGCCCUUGACUUUGGGAUAACUUCAGGAAACUGGGGCUAAUACCGGAUAGGAGCUCCUGCUGCAUGGUGGGGGUUGGAAAGUUUCGGCGGUUGGGGAUGGACUCGCGGCUUAUCAGCUUGUUGGUGGGGUAGUGGCUUACCAAGGCUUUGACGGGUAGCCGGCCUGGGAGGGUGACCGGCCACAUGGGGACUGAGAUACGGACCAGACUCCUACGGGAGGCAGCAGUGGGGAAUAUGGCACAAUGGGCGGAAGCCUGAUGCAGCAACGCUGCGUGCGGGAUGACGGCCUUCGGGUUGUAAACCGCUGUCGCCUGUGACGAAGCGUGAGUGACGGUAAUGGGUAAAGAAGCACCGGCUAACUACGUG
rnacentral:rRNA from 1 species